rnacentral:rRNA from 1 species
UACGAAGGGGGGCUAGCGUUGCUCGGAAUCACUGGGCGUAAAGGGUGCGUAGGCGGGUCUUUAAGUCAGGGGGUGAAAUCCUGGAGCUCAACUCCAGAACUGCCCUUGAUACUGAGGAUCUUGAGUUCGGGAGAGGUGAGUGGAACUGCGAGUGUAGAGGUGAAAUUCGUAGAUAUUCGCAAGAACACCAGUGGCGAAGGCGGCUCACUGGCCCGAUACUGACGCUGAGGCACGAAAGCGUGGGGAGCAAACAGG